rnacentral:rRNA from 1 species
AGUGAACGCUGGCGGUAGGCCUAACACAUGCAAGUCGAACGGCAGCACAGUAAGAGCUUGCUCUUACGGGUGGCGAGUGGCGGACGGGUGAGGAAUACAUCGGAAUCUACUUUUUCGUGGGGGAUAACGUAGGGAAACUUACGCUAAUACCGCAUACGACCUACGGGUGAAAGCAGGGGAUCUUCGGACCUUGCGCGAUUGAAUGAGCCGAUGUCGGAUUAGCUAGUUGGCGGGGUAAAGGCCCACCAAGGCGACGAUCCGUAGCUGGUCUGAGAGGAUGAUCAGCCACACUGGAACUGAGACACGGUCCAGACUCCUACGGGAGGCAGCAGUGGGGAAUAUUGGACAAUGGGCGCAAGCCUGAUCCAGCCAUACCGCGUGGGUGAAGAAGGCCUUCGGGUUGUAAAGCCCUUUUGUUGGGAAAGAAAAGCAGCAGGUUAAGACCCCGCUGUUCUGACGGUACCCAAAGAAUAAGCACCGGCUAACUUCGG